CUUAUCAGGACUGUCCCUGCUUUGCUCCCAAGAUCAGAUGGGAUUCUGGUGCCUUUAGGUCUGCACUCUCACUUUAGGGAGGGAUAACUAGGCCUUCAACACUUCUUGCACACUAUUUCUUCCCAAAAUUCCCUGAACAUGAGGGAAAAAACCGUUUCAUUACCUUGGCAAAGACUGUCCUUUCAAUCCUGUUGGUAGUUCCAGUGACUUAUCAGUUGAAUAGUGAAUCAUUAUUGUAAAUCCCUCUUGAUUCAUUGUGUCUGCUGUUGUUGGUAUUAAUAGGAUUAAGCCUAUACAAAAUAGGCCAUGCAACAGUCCUGGCCCUGACUAAGAAAGAAGAGUGGAGCUCAGCAAACCCCAACAGACACGCUUAUACUUCAGUACAUGAGAUCUACCAGUGCUACCUAGUCUCCACUCUGGAGGACAAUGACAUCACACAGGACAGUUGCCUAGCUGUAUUUUCUCAGUAUGUAACCUAACUGACCUCAAUUGCCAUCUCCUGGAAAUCCUGUGCAGCAGCUUCAACCAUAUCGCGGAGGCGGAAGAUUGGACAAAAGGGGUCCGUUUUGGCAUUGUAUUUGCAGUUUUU